AUGGCCCAAGAACACGCUCAUUCUUCAGCCGUAGAGAGACUUUUGAAUUGUGAGGUACCAUUACGAGCGCAAUAUAUAAGAGUGUUAUUCUGUGAAAUAACUCGAAUUUCAAAUCAUUCACUUGCUUCAACUACUCAUGCUAUGGAUGUGGGAGCAUCAACUCCGUUCCUUUGGGCUUUUGAGGAGCGGGAGAAAUUGUUGGAAUUCUAUGAAAGAGUCCCGGGAGCCAGGAUGCGUGCUAGUUUCAUACGACCUGGUGGAGUGGCACAAGAUCUGCCUCUUGGCUUACGUCGAGAUAUUGGUUCCUCCACACAACAAUUUGCUUCUUGUAUCGACGAAUUAGAAGAGAUGUCAACCGGCAACCAUAUCUGGAAACAACGAUUAGUGGAUAUUGGUACUGUCACUACACAUCAAGCAAAAGAUUGGGGAUUCAGUGGUGUAAUGUUAAGAGGUCCUGGGGUAUCCUGGGAUUCGCGAAGAGCAGCACCUUACGAUGUUCAUGACCAAUCGGAUCUUGACAUACCAGUAGGUACCAGAGGAGAUCUCUAUGAUCGUUACUGUAUCCGUAUUGAGGAGAUGCGACCCCAAAGUGUUCGGAUCAUUGUGCAAUGUCCUAAUCAAAUGCCUAGUGGCAUGAUCAAAGCCGAUGAUCGUAAGCUAUAUCCUCCAUCACGAUCUCGAGUGAAACUAUCCAUGGAAUCCUCAAUUCACCAUUUCAAACUUUAUACAGAAGGUUUUUUUGUACCAGCUCCUUCUACCUAUACCACAGUUGAAGCACCUAAAGGUGAAUUUGGUAUCUUUCUUGUCAGUAAUGGGAGUAAUCGUCCCUACCGUUGUAAAAUAAGAGCACCUGGCUUUGCCCAUUCGUUCCUUGGGACCUAA
rnacentral:rRNA from 1 species